rnacentral:tRNA from 1 species
GUGUGCGUAGCUCAACUUGGCAGAGCACCUGCUUGUGGCGCAGGAGGUUGUGGGAUCGUGGCCCACCGCAUACC